AACGCUAGCUACAGGCUUAACACAUGCAAGUCGAGGGGUAACAAGAGAAAAGCUUGCUUUUCUUGUUGACGACCGGCGCACGGGUGAGUAACGCGUAUCCAACCUGCCUAUAACUAGGGAAUAACCUUGCGAAAGUAAGACUAAUACCCUAUGAUUUCCUUUGAUGACAUCAGAUUAGGAAUAAAGAUUUAUCGGUUAUAGAUGGGGAUGCGUCUGAUUAGCUUGUUGGCGGGGUAACGGCCCACCAAGGCAACGAUCAGUAGGGGUUCUGAGAGGAAGGUCCCCCACAUUGGAACUGAGACACGGUCCAAACUCCUACGGGAGGCAGCAGUGAGGAAUAUUGGUCAAUGGGCGGAAGCCUGAACCAGCCAAGUAGCGUGCAGGAUGACGGCCCUAUGGGUUGUAAACUGCUUUUAUACAGGAAUAAAGUUAGCCACGUGUGGUUAUUUGUAGGUACUGUAUGAAUAAGGACCGGAUAAUUCCGUGCCAGCAGCCGCGGUAAUACGGAAGGUCCAGGCGUUAUCCGGAUUUAUUGGGUUUAAAGGGAGCGUAGGCCGUCUGUUAAGCGUGUUGUGAAAUGUAGAUGCUCAACAUCUGAAUUGCAGCGCGAACUGGCAGACUUGAGUGUGCGCAAGUAGGCGGAAUUCGUGGUGUAGCGGUGAAAUGCUUAGAUAUCACGAAGAACUCCGAUUG
rnacentral:rRNA from 1 species